rnacentral:rRNA from 1 species
GACAGAGGGUGCAAACGUUGUUCGGAAUUACUGGGCGUAAAGCGCGUGUAGGCUGCUCCGCAAGUCGGGUGUGAAAGCCCUGGGCUCAACCUAGGAAGUGCACUCGAAACUUCGGAGCUGGAGUCCUGGAGAGGAAGGCGGAAUUCUCGGUGUAGAGGUGAAAUUCGUAGAUAUCGAGAGGAACACCGGUGGCGAAGGCGGCCUUCUGGACAGUGACUGACGCUGAGACGCGAAAGCGUGGGGAGCAAACAGG